UACGUAGGGUGCGAGCGUUGUCCGGAAUUAUUGGGCGUAAAGGGCUCGUAGGCGGUCUGUCGCGUCGGCUGUGAAAUCCCGAGGCUCAACCUCGGGUCUGCAGUCGAUACGGGCAAACUGGAGUGUUGCAGGGGAGACUGGAAUUCCUGGUGUAGCGGUGAAAUGCGCAGAUAUCAGGAGGAACACCGAUGGCGAAGGCGGCUCUCUGGGACGGUACUGACGCUGAGACGCGAAAGCGUGGGGAGCGAACAGG
rnacentral:rRNA from 1 species